UCUUCCUUUUAUGUUAAGAGAGGAAAUAAUAAAACAAAAUAAAAUUAGCAGAUUCAUAUUUCAAUCUAAUAAUAAGUGCAAAUUUUGUUUAAUUAAAUAAAUUUACUUUCUUUUUAUUUUUCCCCUCACUAUUUUGUUCUAUUUGUUUGUGGGGUAUUUGUUGGAUCAGCAGCGUGAAAAGGCUUGGACAUAUUUUCACGAGACUGUAAAUGAAGAAGAGUUAAAUGGGCCAACCAUAGGGCAAAAGCCUAAUAAUUGGUUCAAAGACGCACCAAUUUGGAAUAAGAAAUUUGGCCCCUGAACUUGUUGCAUCAGCUCAAUGUGGUCUCUUUUUUUUUUUUUUUUUUUUUUACUUUUUGUGACAAAAAUAAUAGUAUUGUUUCCGAUACAAUUAAAAAUGCUAGAUUGCAGAGGAGGAAAAUCUGCUCCGGUGAUGCUAUACGGAGGCUGCCGGUGGAGGAAAAACAUCAGGGGCUGACUUGGGGUUGUCGACGAUGGGGAGCUCAUUUUCAGCGUGAGACAAGCGAAAGGACGGUGGCAGGAGGCUACACUUGCAGUGGCAGCGAGGAGGAGCAAUCCUCUUCCCGAUCUCGACGUCAAUAUCGGGAACAGGAGAAGAAGACGACGACGCUGAUGAUAGGAGGGAAAAGAAAAAAGUUUGCGGUGGUUGUAAGAGGUGGCACUGGCGGCGGAAAUGGGAAGGAGUGAAGGAGAAAGGGAGAAGGGGGUGAUGGAGAGAGAGAAGAAAAAGGAAAAAGAAAAAAGAAAAGAAAAUAUUUUAUUAUGUUCUUUUUUUAAUAAUAAAAAAUGAAAAAUGCAAAUGAGUCCCUCCCUUUAAAAAGUUACUAUAAUGACACUCUUGAC
rnacentral:lncRNA from 1 species